UACGAAUGGAGCGAGCGUUGUUCGGAAUCACUGGGCGUAAAGCGUGCGCAGGCGGUCUUGAAAGUCAGAAGUGAAAGCCCAGGGCUUAACCCUGGAAUUGCUUUUGAAACUCCAAGACUAGAGUACUGGAGAGGUUGGCGGAAUUCCGAGUGUAGCAGUGAAAUGCGUAGAUAUUCGGAGGAACACCGAUGGCGUAGGCAGCCAACUGGACAGUAACUGACGCUCAUGCACGAAAGCGUGGGGAUCAAACAGGAUUAGAUACCCUGGUAGUCCACGCCCUAAACGAUGUGUGCUAGUUGUCGGGGUCUUAAGAUCUCGGUGACGCAGCUAACGCUUUAAGCACACCGCCUGGGGAGUACGGUCGCAAGAUUAAA
rnacentral:rRNA from 1 species